rnacentral:rRNA from 1 species
CCUACGGGAGGCAGCAGUGGGGAAUCUUGCGCAAUGGGCGAAAGCCUGACGCAGCAACGCCGCGUGCGGGAAGAAGGCUUUCGGGCUGUAAACCGCUUUCAGCAGGAACGAAAAUGACGGUACCUGCAGAAGAAGGAGCGGCCAACUAUGUGCCAGCAGCCGCGGUGAUACAUAGGCUUCAAGCGUUGUCCGGAUUUAUUGGGCGUAAAGAGUUCGUAGGCGGUCAAGUAAGUCGGGUGUGAAAAUUCUGGGCUCAACCCAGAGACGCCACCCGAUACUGCUUAACUUGAGUUCGAUAGGGGAGUGGGGAAUUCCUAGUGUAGCGGUGAAAUGCGCAGAUAUUAGGAGGAACACCGGUGGCGAAGGCGCCACUCUGGAUCGAUACUGACGCUGAGGAACGAAAGCAUGGGUAGCAAACAGGAUUAGAUACCCUGGUAGUCCAUGCCGUAAACGGUGGGGCACUAGGUGUGGGUUUCUAUUAACGAAAUCCGCGCCGUCGCUAACGCAUUAAGUGCCCCGCCUGGGGAUACGGUCGCAAGACAAAACUCAAAGGAAUUGAACGG